rnacentral:rRNA from 1 species
AGGUUGAUAUUCCUGUACCACCUCCUCACCGUUUGAGAAAUGGGGGGACGCAGUAGGAUAGGGUAAGCGCGCUGUUGGAUAUGCGCGUCCAAGCAGUAAGGCGUGUGUGUAGGCAAAUCCGCACACUAUAACGUUGAGCUGUGAUGGCGAGUCCGUAUGGACGAAGUUCCUGAUUUCACACUGCCAAGAAAAGCCUCUAUCGAGGUGAGAGGUGCCCGUACCGCAAACCGACACAGGUAGUCGAGGAGAGAAUCCUAAGGUGUGCGAGAGAACUCUCGUUAAGGAACGCGGCAAAAUGACCCCGUAACUUCGGGAGAAGGGGUGCUCUUGAGCGUGCAAGCGCAUGAGAGCCGCAGUGAAUAGGCCCAGGCGACUGUUUAGCAAAAACACAGGUCUCUGCAAAACCGUAAGGUGACGUAUAGGGGCUGACGCCUGCCCGGUGCUGGAAGGUUAAGAGGAGUGGUUAGCGCA